AAAAAUGAACAUAUUCAUCCGAGG
rnacentral:snRNA from 1 species